UACGUAGGUGGCAAGCGUUAUCCGGAAUUACUGGGCGUAAAGAGCGCGCAGGUGGUUGAUUAAGUCUGAUGUGAAAGCCCACGGCUUAACCGUGGAGGGUCAUUGGAAACUGGUCGACUUGAGUGCAGAAGAGGGAAGUGGAAUUCCAUGUGUAGCGGUGAAAUGCGUAGAGAUAUGGAGGAACACCAGUGGCGAAGGCGGCUUCCUGGUCUGUAACUGACACUGAGGCGCGAAAGCGUGGGGAGCGAACGGGAUUAGAUACCCG
rnacentral:rRNA from 1 species